GCACAGCGUAGUUGAAGGACUCCACGUGCGCCCGCGUCAGCUCCUGCAACGCUGCCUUUUGCUGUUCCCGCGGGAUUCCAUAAGAGGGGUCAGUCAAGUGCUUUAGGCUAGGCCCGCUGGGCAGGUUCCGCCACCGGCUGCCAGGAUCCAUGUGGCCACCUGCACACCGGACGCCAGUCUCUCGGUACACGCCGGACGCCAGUCUCUCGGUACACGCCGGAAGUAGUGGCCGCAGUCCCGUUUCCGCAGCCUGCUGGGAAAUGUAGUUCCCUCUCGUUCCACCCGCCCUAGGCCCUGCGGUUUCGGUUUCUCGGGGUCAACGUAGAACCAAAAACGUCGAGUGAACGGGCCGAUUAAGGCCGUGUCCAGCCAGAGCGUGGCGGGCCCUCCCUUUCUCCCAUAUUCCGCCCCACUCAUCUCCCCGCUCGCGAAAGAUGCCGCAGUCCCACGCUGAUGCCGACCCUGGGGAGUCAUCCGGCCAAAGUCGUUGCUUCAACGAAAAAGCGGAUGCCGGGCCCCGGGCUGACUCUCUACCCAACUCCUAACUCGCGAGGCUCACCCCUGGGAAGCCAAGGAGUGGUCGGGCCCCGCUAACCUCGUCGCAUCUUCC
rnacentral:lncRNA from 1 species